UACGUAGGGUGCGAGCGUUGUCCGGAAUUACUGGGCGUAAAGAGCUCGUAGGUGGUUGUCGCGUUGUUCGUGAAAUCUCACGGCUUAACUGUGAGCGUGCGGGCGAUACGGGCAGACUAGAGGUAGGUAGGGAGAAUGGAAUUCCCGGUGUGAGCGGUGAAAUGCGCAGAUAUCGGGAGGAACACCGGUGGCGAAGGCGGUUCUCUGGGCCUUACCUGACGCGAGGAGCGAA
rnacentral:rRNA from 1 species